UACGAAGGGUGCAAGCGUUUGUUCGGAUUUACUGGGCGUAAAGCGCGCGUAGGCGGCUUUGCAAGUCGGGUGUGAAAUCCCCAGGCUUAACCUGGGAACUGCAUUCGAGACUGCAUUGCUAGAGUAUGGGAGAGGGAAGUGGAAUUUCCGGGUGUAGCGGUGAAAUGCGUAGAUAUCGGAAGGAACAUCAGUGGCGAAAGCGACUUCCUGGACCAAUACUGACGCUCAUGUGCGAAAGCGUGGGGAGCAAACAGG
rnacentral:rRNA from 1 species